rnacentral:rRNA from 1 species
AUACGGAGGAUGCGAGCGUUAUCCGGAUUUAUUGGGUUUAAAGGGUGCGCAGGCGGCCAUUUAAGUCAGCGGUUAAAUCGUGGGGCUCAACCCCAUUCUGCCGUUGAUACUGGGUGGCUUGAUUGCGGUCGAGGUUGGCGGAAUUCGUUGUGUAGCGGUGAAAUGCAUAGAUAUGACGAAGAACACCGAUUGCGUAGGCAGCUGACCAGACCGCAAAUGACGCUCAUGCACGAAAGUGCGGGGAUCGAACAGGACUAGAUACCCUGGUAGUCCGCACAGUAAACGAUGAAUACUUGUUUUCGGCGAUAUAAUGUCGGAGGCAAAGCGAAAGCGAUAAGUAUUCCACCUGGGGAGUACGCCGGCAACGGUGAAACUUAAAGGAAUUGACGGGG